rnacentral:lncRNA from 1 species
GGGGGGUGCAAUGUUGUUGAAAAGUGAAAAGGGAGAAAGUGAAAAGUGAGGGGGGAAAAGUGAAAAAGGAUAGUGAAAAGAAACGGUGAAGUGUGGAGGUGGGGGGGUGCAGUCUUACCGUCAGAAGGGAGAGAAUGAAAUUGAAAAUGGGAAAGUAAAUUUAGGGUUAGGAAAUAAAAGAGGGUUAAAAAAGUAAAUAACAAAUUAUAAAAAAGGUUAUUUUGGUAAUAUAAAAAAUAUGGGGAGGUAGAGGGCCAAACAGGUGGAGGUGCAGGGAUUAAUGCCCAAGGAAAGAAGGCAUGAUCUUGAGUGUGGAAUGGUUUCUAUGGAUGUUGUGAAGUUGAAUCAAUAUAGCUAGUUCCUUUUUGAAUAAGUUAAUGUUGAAAGUGUAGAGAAAAGAAAGCAGAAGGAGGAAUUGUUUUAGUAACAGGGGUUUGGACUACGUGUGAUCAUCAAAAUAUAGUUACAAGUUUUGAAGAUCUUGGAAGAGAAUCAAAGGAAAGGUUGAAUAGUUCUAGUGUAAGUAUUAACUCAAGUAAGAGUGGGUUUUUGGGAUUUAUGUUUUUCAAGGAAUGGAGAUAAUGUUAAAGAAAUGGAAUGAGAAGGUUAUCGUGGAAGAGAAGAGUUCUCAAGGUUUUUUCUAUAUCAUGGAAGUUUCAAAUAAGGUUUCUCAAGGGUAAUGGUUUCGAGUUACAAUCAUGUGAAGAGAGCGUUUUUUUCUAUAAAUCGAUGAAUAAGGAGGAAUGGGAAUCAGAGUAGCACAGCGGAUGUUGGUGGUCAUGUUCUUAUUAGUAAAAGGUGUGUGAAGAGUUUCUUAAUCAUGUGUUAGUGGUUUGGGAGUGAUGAGCUUCUCUAAAAUGGUAAUGAUGUCAGUAUCUAAGAAUGAGUUGAGAGUAUUUGGUAAUCUUUAUGAGUCAGAAGUGAACAUAUGUAUGGAGAAAAUAAGGAUAAGGUAGAAAAGACAAAGUGAGUCCAUGGUUUCAAGCUAUAGUAUCGAUCCUAAAGUGAGGAAGUAUUUACGGACAUUGACCAGAGAAAGUGGGUCAAUGGACGAAGAAGAUGGAUUGAACUAUGAUUUCAAGUGGUAACUUCGAUCCUGAGGUAAGGAAGCGGUAACUGGUAGUGAGAACAAAGAUGAGAUUCACGUUCUAGGUUUAGGUAAGAUUUGAGUAAGAGUUAGUCGAAGAGUAUGAAGCCUAGGGUCUGAAGUGAAUGUAGUAAGGAGAAUUCAUUAUUAUAGUGGAAAUACUAUAACUAGUGGGUUUCUCAAAAUGGUUGAGGAAAAGCAGUUUGGACAAUCCUAGUUUGAGAUGUAUCUUAAGAGGAUUAGGUACUGAUCAAGCUAGUGAUUUUAAGUCAAGAAGAAGACAUAGCUAAGUGUGAGUACAUACUAGUGGGUCAAGAAAGACAAAUGGUUCAGGUUGGCAAGUUGAAGAAAUAAAGAUGAAGAGUUCAUUUUGGUUUUGUCACGGUAACAAAUGCGAGAGUUCUACCUUGGUAAUGGGAUAACAUAGUGGGAAACUAUGUUCUUAAAGGGUGAAGAUCAGUCAAAGAAGGUGAAAGUGUCAUCAGAUUGGGUGUGUUUAAAGGUGAUCAAGAGUGAUUAACAGUUGGCAAUAAAUCAAAAGUUGUAGUGAUCAAGUCAAUUGUAUGGUGCUUCUUAAAAGGGACCAAUAUAAAGUCAAGGGAGAUCAGUUAAGGGUUGUUCAGAAGUUAAGGCUAACAGAAAUUUUAGAAUGGAUUAAUAGGAGGCAGUGAAAAUAGAUGAAGGGUUGGUAGUGUGGCAAACAUAAUAUGGUUGAUUAUGUGAAAGAAAGGUUCUUAAAGGCUGAGGUUUAAAGGGAAAUUUUUUUUUAAGAACAAUGACUAGACCAAUCUACACUAUUAAACACUAUAACAUUUUAGCAUAGAGGCAAGGUUUUUCACAUCAGUAAGGUUGUUGGGCAGUAGUAUCUUUGUCAUAUAGGUGGUUGUGUUAGAGAAUAAGAGGACAAUAACUUGUUCCUCCUAUCCGAUAAGUGAAUUUUCGAGGACAAAAAUUUUUGUUGUUGGGGAGAAUGUAAAAUCCUAGAAAAUGGUAUUUUUAGAAGUGAUGCUAGUUUAAAAAUAAUGAGACUCGUUUAUUUUAAUAUUAAAUGGUUUAGUUAUUAUAUAAUUUUGUUAUAAACAAGUUUCAUUAUUUUAAAAUGUAUCAUCUCUCUAAAAAUCACUUUUCUAGAGUUCCCUACCUUUUCUCUAAGCCUCUGUUCUUAUGAAGAGAUUUGGGGGAGAUGAUUUGGGGGAGAUGAUUUGAGUGGAUUUGAGUGGAUUUGAGGGUAAUUUUGUUGUUGUUUUUUUGAGUAGAUUUGUGGGUAAUUGAGAGUGGAUUUGAGGGUAAAGUUUGUGAGAAUUAGUGUAGGAUUUGAUUGAUGUGAUAUAUUUAAAAAAUUUG